UACCCCUCGUACCUUUUGCAUCAUGAUUUAGCAAGCGUUCCUUAGGCAAAAAGUCUUUUAGUCUAAACACCCGAAACCAGGCGAGCUACUCCGAGGCAGCCUUAAUAUAGGGCCUACCCGUCUCUGUGGCAAAAGAGUGGGGAGAACUCUGAGUAGAGGUGAAAAACCUAUCGAGCCUGGUUAUAGCUGGUUGCCUGAGAAAUGAAUAGAAGUUCAGCACUGCUGCUUCUUUAGAAGCUGCAGCAGUUAGUUUAAAGGGGAACAGCCCUUUAAACCCAGAAUACAAUCUACCAGAAGGAUAAAGAUCAUAAUAAUAAAGGUGCGACACCCAGGUGGGCCUAAGAGCAGCCACCCUUUUAGAUAGCGUUAAAGCUCGUGUGUUAAAUUCCGAUAAGCCAUCUUAAUCCUCUUUGACUAUCAGGCCGUAUUAUAUAACUUAAUAGUGACAAUGCUAAUAUGAGUAAUAAGGGGAGACCCCCUCCUUUUACAAGUGUACCUCGGAACGAACUCACACCGACAAUUAACGAACCCAAGCCGGAGCGUAGUGGGCCCAGGCCAGAAAAACACCCCUCGUUAACCCCACACUGGUAUAAUAAUUAGGAAAGACUAAAAGGGAAAGAAGGAACUCGGCAAAUAAGCUUCGCCUGUUUACCAAAAACAUCGCCUCUUGA
rnacentral:rRNA from 1 species